GACAUUCAGCAGUAGGAGAUAGGACCACCAACACAACCCAUUGACAUUCAGCAGUAGGAGGUAGGACCACCAACACACCCCAUUGACAUUCAGCAGUAGGAGGUAGGACCACCAACACAACCCAUUGACAUCCAGCAGUAGGAGGUAGGAC